CGUCCCCUGCGGCGUUGGUCAAGGCCAUAUAUUCCUUGAACCAAUGCUUGACGGCAUUGGCCGCGGACCUUCACGCCGAUGUUGUGGGCGGCUCUCGUCAGUCGCCCCUGAUUCGACUGGAAUGCGGCCACCUUGAACCCUCGGUUCAGGAUGCCGGUCUUGACGGCGAGCGCGGGGGGCCA
rnacentral:other from 1 species